UGGAAACGGGGUCUAAUACCGGAUAACACUCCUGCCUGCAUGGGUGGGGGUUAAAAGCUCCGGCGGUGAAGGAUGAGCCCGCGGCCUAUCAGCUUGUUGGUGAGGUAGUGGCUCACCAAGGCGACGACGGGUAGCCGGCCUGAGAGGGCGACCGGCCACACUGGGACUGAGACACGGCCCAGACUCCUACGGGAGGCAGCAGUGGGGAAUAUUGCACAAUGGGCGAAAGCCUGAUGCAGCGACGCCGCGUGAGGGAUGACGGCCUUCGGGUUGUAAACCUCUUUCAGCAGGGAAGAAGCGAAAGUGACGGUACCUGCAGAAGAAGCGCCGGCUAACUACGUGCCAGCAGCCGCGGUAAUACGUAGGGCGCAAGCGUUGUCCGGAAUUAUUGGGCGUAAAGAGCUCGUAGGCGGCUUGUCACGUCGGUUGUGAAAGCCCGGGGCUUAACCCCGGGUCUGCAGUCGAUACGGGCAGGCUAGAGUGUGGUAGGGGAGAUCGGAAUUCCUGGUGUAGCGGUGAAAUGCGCAGAUAUCAGGAGGAACACCGGUGGCGAAGGCGGAUCUCUGGGCCAUUACUGACGCUGAGGAGCGAAAGCGUGGGGAGCGAACAGGAUUAGAUACCCUGGUAGUCCACGCCGUAAACGGU
rnacentral:rRNA from 1 species